UGAGGCUUUUGUUGAACUUUGUCCUUUCAUCAUUUCUCCUUCCCUUUCUUGAACAAUUCGUACCCUCCUGUGCAUUAAUGAAUGCGGUUUUUUGCUAUUUGUGCUUGUGAUUGUACCGUUUUAAAUGUUGCCGUGUUCUGUUCUGUUUUCUUUUUAAUCAUUAUAGCGUGUCACACCAAACGAAGCGACGGUUCACUGCAAGGAGUCAGUGAGGCGUCUCGUCCAAGGAGUCAAUCAUUGCUCGGACUCUAUAAAAGGAACUUCUCGGAGAUGAGUGUUCUUCACCCCAACGAUUUCUCUUCGCCUUUCCUCUGAAAAAA
rnacentral:sRNA from 1 species